rnacentral:rRNA from 1 species
AGAGUUUGAUCCUGGCUCAGAACAAACGCUGGCGGCGUGCCUAAUACAUGCAAGUCGAACGAGGAAGUACCUUCGGGUAUUGUACUAGUGGCGUACGGGUGAGUAACGCGUGGAUAAUCUUCCUCUAGGUGGGGAAUAACCAGUCGAAAGAUUGGCUAAUACCGCAUAAGACCACAAUGUCUUCGGACAAAGGGGUUAAA